GAAAAACAAAAAAAAUAUGAUAUACUAAAAACAAAACAUGAACAAAAAAACAAAAAAACAAACAUGAUAAAACAAAAAACAUGAUAUACCGUAGAACAUUAGUUCGAAGUAAUUUUGCACAAACGCUUGCAGAAUACAGACGUUUGCGCAGUGUGAUUUCGUAGUCUGGCAUUUAAUAAUAUAAAAAAAGCAAUUGGCACCUUAUUAAUCCUUGCCAUGUCGACGUUUGUGAGCUUGUGCCCCAAAUUGCCGUAUAUCAUUAGAAAGAGCAAGAAAUACUGCACAAUAUAGUUGAGUUUCAGAAGAAUUAGAAAGACAGAUUUUGCGCGAACGUAUGCGCAAUGUAAUUCUAUAAACAAAAGCGAUUACCACCUUAUUAAUCCUUGCUGUUUUGACAUUGGUGAGCUUGUGCCCCAAUUUGCUGCACACCGCUGGAAAGAGCAUGAAAUACCGCUUAAUAUAGCCGAGUUUGGGCACAGUUGGGGAGAAAGAUUUUGCGCAAACGCUUGCUGAAUACAUUGCAAUUCUGUACUGUGGCAUUUAAUAUAUGCAAACAAAGUAAUUAGCACUUAUUAGUCCUUGCUGUUUUGGCGUUAGUGAGCUUGUGGCCCAGUUUUCUGUAUAUCGUUGGAAAGAGCAUGGAAUACUGCGCAAUAUAGUCGAGUUUGGGAACAAUUGAGCAAACAGAUUCUGCAUAAACGCCUGCUGAAUAUAGAUGUUUGCGCAGUGUAAUUCUAUAAACAAAGAAAUUAGCAACUUAUUAAUCCUUGCCGUUUUGACGUUGGUGAGCUUGUGCCCCAAUUUGCUGUACAUCAUUGGAAAUAGCAUGAAAUACUGCAUAAUAUAGUCGAGUUUGAG